GACGAACGCUGGCGGCGUGCUUAACACAUGCAAGUCGAGCGGUAAGGCUCCUUCGGGAGUACACGAGCGGCGAACGGGUGAGUAACACGUGAGCAAUCUGCCCUUCACACGGGGUAACUUCGGGAAACCGAAGCUAAUACCCGAUACGACCACUUCAGGCAUCUGAUGGUGGUGGAAAGUUCCGGCGGUGAAGGAUGAGCUCGCGGCCUAUCAGCUUGUUGGUGGGGUAACGGCCCACCAAGGCAACGACGGGUAGCCGGCCUGAGAGGGUGACCGGCCACACUGGGACUGAGACACGGCCCAGACUCCUACGGGAGGCAGCAGUGGGGAAUAUUGCACAAUGGGCGCAAGCCUGAUGCAGCAACGCCGCGUGAGGGACGACGGCCUUCGGGUUGUAAACCUCUUUUAGCAGGGAAGAAGCGAAAGUGACGGUACCUGCAGAAAAAGCACCGGCUAACUACGUGCCAGCCGCCGCAGUAAAAC
rnacentral:rRNA from 1 species